AACAUUGAGCCUUGAUGUGUAGGAUAGGUGGGAGGCUUUGAAGUGUGGACGCCAGUCUGCAUGGAGCCGACCUUGAAAUACCACCCUUUAAUGUUUGAUGUUCUAACGUGGACCCGUAAUCCGGGUUGCGGACAGUGUCUGGUGGGUAGUUUGACUGGGGCGGUCUCCUCCUAAAGAGUAACGGAGGAGCACGAAGGUUGGCUAAUCCUGGUCGGACAUCAGGAGGUUAGUGCAAUGGCAUAAGCCAGCUUGACUGCGAGCGUGACGGCGCGAGCAGGUGCGAAAGCAGGUCAUAGUGAUCCGGUGGUUCUGAAUGGAAGGGCCAUCGCUCAACGGAUAAAAGGUACUCCGGGGAUAACAGGCUGAUACCGCCCAAGAGUUCAUAUCGACGGCGGUGUUUGGCACCUCGAUGUCGGCUCAUCACAUCCUGGGGCUGAAGUAGGUCCCAAGGGUAUGGCUGUUCGCCAUUUAAAGUGGUACGCGAGCUGGGUUUAGAACGUCGUGAGACAGUUCGGUCCCUAUCUGCCGUGGGCGCUGGAGAACUGAGGGGGGCUGCUCCUAGUACGAGAGGACCGGAGUGGACGCAUCACUGGUGUUCGGGUUGUCAUGCCAAUGGCACUGCCCGGUAGCUAAAUGCGGAAGAGAUAAGUGCUGAAAGCAUCUAAGCACGAAACUUGCCCCGA
rnacentral:rRNA from 2 species